rnacentral:rRNA from 1 species
GACAGAGGGUGCAAACGUUGUUCGGAAUUACUGGGCGUAAAGCGCGUGUAGGCGGCAAGGUAGGUCGGAUGUGAAAUCCCGCGGCUCAACCGUGGAAGUGCACUCGAAACCACCUAGCUGGAGUCUCGGAGAGGAAGGUGGAAUGCUUGGUGUAGAGGUGAAAUUCGUAGAUAUCAAGCAGAACACCUGUGGCGAAGGCGACUUACUGGACAACUGUUGACGCUGAGGUGCGAAAGCGUGGGGAGCAAACAGG